GAUGAAGAACGCAGCGAAAUGCGAUAAGUAAUGUGAAUUGCAGAAUUCAGUGAAUCAUCGAAUCUUUGAACGCACAUUGCGCCCGUCAGUAUUCUGGCGGGCAUGCCUGUUCGAGCGUCAUUACGCCCCUCAAGUCCCCUGUGGACUUGGUGUUGGGGAUCGGCGAGGCUGGUUUUCCAGCACAGCCGUCCCUUAAAUUAAUUGGCGGUCUCGCCGUGGCCCUCCUCUGCGCAGUAGUAAAACACUCGCAACAGGAGCCCGGCGCGGUCCACUGCCGUAAAACCCCCCAACUUUUUAUAGUUGACCUCGAAUCAGGUAGGACUACCCGCUGAACUUAAGCAUAUCAAUAAGCGGAGA
rnacentral:misc_RNA from 1 species